GUGAUCUGGAACUGCAGUUGAGU
rnacentral:piRNA from 1 species